UCCCUGAAGGUCCGGUGCCUAGGACCCUGUGCUCACAAUGCAGGGGGCCUGGGUUCAAUUCCUGGUCAAGGAA
rnacentral:tRNA from 1 species